UUUUUGGAAAGAAUUUCAAUUACAAACUACCAAGGUUCCAACGAAGCCCCACUGUCCCAUUUGGACCAUUAGGGAAGUUAGAAUUGACUAAAGGUUUAACCAAAUACCGAUCAAGAGGCAGCCGAUAACUAAGUCGAGGUGCCCUUGUAGACUCGUUUUCUUGGUAGGUAUCUUGGCAUUCAGUAACCGUACGUCAC